GACCCCAUCGUCUAGCCUGGUUAGGACAAGAGCUUUUCAAGCUCUCGACACGGGUUCAAAUCCCGUUGGGGUCGCCA
rnacentral:tRNA from 1 species